rnacentral:lncRNA from 1 species
UUUUUUUUUUUUGUUGACGGGGGAUAAACUUCGGUUAUUAUUCGAGAUGUGCACUAAAAUAAAAUUAAUAUUUUGAUCAGAAUUGUAUUUUUUUUUUGUUAUGUGAGCUACAGCCGUAUCAAAAAUGUCGCUAAGUACUACUCAAAAAAAAAAAAAAUGUAUCUAAGUAAACUCAUGUUUGACCAAUUGCAAUUGUUUUACUUUUCUAUAAAGAUAAACUACGAUUCAAAAAUUUAAAUAUACCGAUUCUAAAAUAAAUAAAUAAAAAUUAAAUAUACCGGAUUAGAGGUAAAACAUUUAAUCUCAAGUAAAC